UCCCUGGUGGUCCAGUGGCUAAGACUCAGGGCUCCCAAUGCAAAGGGCCCAGGUUUGAACCCUGGUCAGGGAA
rfam:TPA: Bos taurus chromosome 7, whole genome shotgun sequence.